ACUUAUCCCAUCAACACCUUCUCUCACCCUGUCUCGCACUCACCCAUCCACCCCCCUCUUGAUCCAUCUUGAUCCAUUCUCCGAAACCCCAAGGAAACCCUCCCAAAUAGAAACCCCAAGUAAACCUAAAUUGAGAGAGGUUGAAACCCUAAAUUGAAGAUGAAGAAGAAUUCGGAACCCCAAGUUAAACCAUGCACGGAGAUGAAAUCUUCUGAAAUACAUCAAGCAUCUUGAAAUCCAGAUUGCGACUAAUCAAGCAAUAAUGGAAGUAGAUGAGGAUGGUGGUGAAACUGCCAUGCUUUUCCAUAGUGAAAACUGUACUUGCUUGCCCUCGUAAUCAGCCAGCCCAAUGCAAAGCUAGGACUUCAUCCAUGUAGCCUAAGUUCUGGAAUUUUAUUUGGGAGAGCAUCACUACUAGCCAAUACCAAUUGCAUGGAAAACAGUUUUGCUCAAUUCCAGUCUCAAAGACAGCUACAAAUUAUAUUUUGUUACUUGUAUAUUUACUAGCAAUUCACAUUUUAGGGAUAAUUACCAGUAGGUUAUUUACUCAUAAGUCAUGAGUGGAUUUUUUUAAUACUUAUUUGCCCCUUGUUUUGAUAAUGAGAAAGUUUUGAAACUGUUUAGAUGUGUUUUGUAUUUAUGGAAUGAUCAUUUGGUACUGUAAUCAUACUCUGAUAAAUUUAUCAAAAUAAUAAAUUAUUGGGAUAUUUUGUCUUUUGUU